AAUAUUGCACAAUGGGGGAAACCCUGAUGCAGCCAUGCCGCGUGUGUGAAGAAGGCCUUCGGGUUGUAAAGCACUUUCAGUAGGGAGGAAGGUAGUGUAGUUAACACCUGCAUUAUUUGACGUUACCUACAGAAGAAGCACCGGCUAACUCCGUGCCAGCAGCCGCGGUAAUACGGAGGGUGCGAGCGUUAAUCGGAAUUACUGGGCGUAAAGCGCAUGCAGGCGGCCUGUUAAGUCAGAUGUGAAAGCCCGGGGCUUAACCUCGGAAUUGCAUUUGAAACUGGCAGGCUAGAGUCUUGUAGAGGGGGUAGAAGUUUCAGGUGUAGCGGUGAAAUGCGUAGAGAUCUGAAGGAAUAUCAGUGGCGAAGGCGGCCCCCUGGACAAAGACUGACGCUCAGAUGCGAAAGCGUGGGGAGCAAACAGGAUUAGAUACCCUGGUAG
rnacentral:rRNA from 1 species